GGGAUAACUACCGGAAACGGUGGCUAAUACCGGAUAUGAGGUGCCUGGGCAUCUGGGCGCCUGGAAAGUUUUUCGGUCAGGGAUGGGCUCGCGGCCUAUCAGCUUGUUGGUGGGGUGAUGGCCUACCAAGGCGACGACGGGUAGCCGGCCUGAGAGGGCGACCGGCCACACUGGGACUGAGACACGGCCCAGACUCCUACGGGAGGCAGCAGUGGGGAAUAUUGCACAAUGGGCGCAAGCCUGAUGCAGCGACGCCGCGUGCGGGAUGACGGCCUUCGGGUUGUAAACCGCUUUCAGCAGGGAAGAAGCGCAAGUGACGGUACCUGCAGAAGAAGCGCCGGCUAACUACGUGCCAGCAGCCGCGGUAAUACGUAGGGGCGCAAGCGUUGUCCCGGAAUUAUUGGGCGUAAAGAGCUCGUAGGCGGUUUGUCGCGUCUGCUGUGAAAUCCUCAGGCUCAACCUGGGGCUUGCAGUGGGUACGGGCAGACUAGAGUGCGGUAGGGGUGACUGGAAUUCCUGGUGUAGCGGUGGAAUGCGCAGAUAUCAGGAGGAACACCGAUGGCGAAGGCAGGUCACUGGGCCGCAACUGACGCUGAGGAGCGAAAGCAUGGGGAGCGAACAGGAUUAGAUACCCUGGUAGUCCAUGCCGUAAACGUUGGGCACUAGGUGUGGGGUCCAUUCCACGGAUUCCGUGCCGCAGCAAACGCAUUAAGUGCCCCGCCUGGGGAGUACGGCCGCAAGGCUAAAACUCAAAGAAAUUGACGGGGGCCCGCACAAGCGGCGGAGCAUGCGGAUUUAAUUCGAUGCAACGCGAAGAACCUUACCAAGGCUUGACAUACACCCGGAAAAGUGCAGAGAUGUGCUCCCCGUAAAGGUCGGUGUACAGGUGGUGCAAUGGNUUGUCGUCACCUCGUGUCGUNGAGAUGUUGGGUUAAGUCCCGCAACGAGCGCAACCCUCGUCCCAUGUUGCCAGCGGGUUAUGCCGGGGACUCAUGGGAGACUGCCGGGGUCAACUCGGAGGAAGGUGGGGAUGACGUCAAAUCAUCAUGCCCCUUAUGUCUUGGGCUUCACGCAUGCUACAAUGGCCGGUACAAAGGGCUGCGAUACCGCAAGGUGG
rnacentral:rRNA from 1 species